CAAGUACUCCCUCCAUCCGGAAUUACUUGUCAUCAAAAUGGAUGUGUCUAGAACUACAAUACAUCUAGAUACAUCCAUUUCAAUGACAAGUAUUUUCGGACAGAGGGAGUACAAG
rnacentral:pre_miRNA from 1 species